CAAGGAAUAGUUUAUGU
rnacentral:tRNA from 1 species